AUUUGUCAAUACCGUGAAUGGAGGGAGCUCUCACGGGGCCACCUCGUGUUACAAUCCUUCCUUUAUGAAAAUUUCUGACAGACUGAGAAAAUGAACGUGACCACAAGGGAAAGUGAAUCCUACUGAUUUCUGGAAUGUUCCGGACCUCCAGUAAUUUAGCCUUAGGCCACUGGGAAGAAGCAAGACGCCCUCUUCUGGUGUAUCUGUGUAGAAGAAACUCCUACAAAGCAAAUAAUGCCUUCCUGGGCAAGAACAGAGCAUGUGAAAAACAGAAAGUUAAAUACAAACUCUUGAGGACCUUCAUGUUUCCUAGCUCAAGAUUUCCUGGAUUUUAUUCAAAGUCCCUCUGUUCAAGCCUCCCAAGGUUUCCACUGGUCAGUGCUGAGACUGAGCACCUUAGCUGCAUAACUCCACAAGGACUGAGACCUCGCUACUCUCCUUGGACACCUUCCCGAGUCCUGUGAGUCUUCUCCUCUCUCAACCCUCUCCUUCUCUCCUCUCCAUGUCUAAUUCAUUAUCC
rnacentral:lncRNA from 1 species